UACGGGAGGCAGCAGUGGGGAAUAUUGCACAAUGGGCGCAAGCCUGAUGCAGCCAUGCCGCGUGUAUGAAGAAGGCCUUCGGGUUGUAAAGUACUUUCAGUCGUGAGGAAGGUGUUAAGGUUAAUAACCUUAGCAAUUGACGUUAGCGACAGAAGAAGCACCGGCUAACUCCGUGCCAGCAGCCGCGGUAAUACGGAGGGUGCGAGCGUUAAUCGGAAUUACUGGGCGUAAAGGGCACGCAGGCGGUUAAUUAAAGUUGGAUGUGAAAUCCCCGGGCUUAACCUGGGAAUGGCAUUCAAGACUGGUUAGCUAGAGUCUUGUAGAGGGGGUAGAAUUCCAUGUGUAGCGGUGAAAUGCGUAGAGAUGUGGAGGAAUACCGGUGGCGAAGGCGGCCCCCUGGGACAAAGACUGACGCUCAUGUGCGAAAGGCUGGGGAGCAAACAGGAUUAGAUACC
rnacentral:rRNA from 1 species